rnacentral:rRNA from 1 species
GCCUAACACAUGCAAGUCGAGCGGUAGCACGGGGGAGCUUGCUCCCUGGGUGACGAGCGGCGGACGGGUGAGUAAUGUCUGGGAAACUGCCUGAUGGAGGGGGAUAACUACUGGAAACGGUAGCUAAUACCGCAUAACGUCGCAAGACCAAAGAGGGGGACCUUCGGGCCUCUUGCCAUCAGAUGUGCCCAGAUGGGAUUAGCUAGUAGGUGGGGUAAUGGCUCACCUAGGCGACGAUCCCUAGCUGGUCUGAGAGGAUGACCAGCCACACUGGAACUGAGACACGGUCCAGACUCCUACGGGAGGCAGCAGUGGGGAAUAUUGCACAAUGGGCGCAAGCCUGAUGCAGCCAUGCCGCGUGUGUGAAGAAGGCCUUCGGGUUGUAAAGCACUUUCAGCGAGGAGGAAGGUGGUGAACUUAAUACGUUCAUCAAUUGACGUUACUCGCAGAAGAAGCACCGGCUAACUCCGUGCCAGCAGCCGCGGUAAUACGGAGGGUGCAAGCGUUAAUCGGAAUUACUGGGCGUAAAGCGCACGCAGGCGGUUUGUUAAGUCAGAUGUGAAAUCCCCGGGCUCAACCUGGGAACUGCAUUUGAAACUGGCUAGCUAGAGUCUCGUAGAGGGGGGUAGAAUUCCAGGUGUAGCGGGAAAUGCGUAUAGAUCUGGAGGAAUACCGGUGGCGAAGGCGGCCCCCUGGACAAAAACUGACGCUCACGUGCG